CAAAUACUCCCUCCGUCCGGAAAUACUUGUCAUCAAAAUGGAUAAAAGGAAAUGUAUCUAGACGUAUUUUAGUUUUAGAUACAUUUCUUUUUGUCCAUUUUGAUGACAAGUAUUUUCAGAUGAAGGGAGUAUUUA
rfam:Triticum aestivum genome assembly, contig: Triticum_aestivum_CS42_TGACv1_scaffold_146018_2BS